rnacentral:lncRNA from 1 species
UGCUUCUGCAGCUCAGGAGAAUGGAAAUGGCUAUGAAAGCACAGUCAUUUGUAAGUGGCUGUGGCCAUCAUGAAACCUGUCAUGAAGAUGACUAAUACAGAAAAUAGAAAGCAUUUACUGAAACAGGCCAGAGAAAGAUGCAAUGCUCAGGAACCAGGCCAGAAGCUGAAGGCCUCCAUCAUUUAAGCUAAUACUGUCUCCCCCUCCAACCUAUAAUAUCCUACCCCCCUCAGACGGUUUUCAAUCCAUCCUUCCUUCCUUCAUUCUGGCUGGGCAACUGGGGAAAGUAUUGUAGGGGAGGAAGUCACUAAGAAAAAAAAAAAAAGAUUUGGAUGUGGAAAAAAANGAAAGCAGGUUAUCUCUGCCAAGACUUUUCCCUCAUUCACUCUCAGGGUAACUUUUCUCCCCCUAUAAAAUCCACACAUAUCAUCUCUUUUUCCAUACUGAAGUAGAGAAAUGAAAUGUCACUAAUUGCUGUAAGUGCCAAGUGCCAAUGCUGAAUUUUUAUGAAGCCACAAGGACUUUUUAAAAGAUUAAUUACAUAAAAUCAGAAAGUAAUGGAAACAUCCACCCGAUGUUUCUGGAGGAACCAAAGAGAUGGCAAAGGUGGGGGUGGGGGUGUCUGAAAAAGAGUGAGGCCAUAACCGACCACCGUGUCUGCAGAGUGACCGGGAACUUGGAAGAGAGAGAAGGGGAAUGAAAAAGUACACAUAAUUAGAGCAUUUUAAGCACUUAAAAGAGAAGAACUUCAGUUAAUUGGGUAAAACGAUAGAAUCACAGCAUUAGCUAAUAUUCGUGGACUGUUGACUAUGUACAAGGCAUGGCUACAUCAUGUUAUUAAAAACAGCUCUAUGGGAAAGGCAUUGCCAUGAUUUUGGUUUUACACGUAAGGAAACCAAGACCUAGAGCCAAAAUCCCACUACUUAGUAAGGGGUGAAAAGCAGAUUCUAAGCCAGCAGAUGGGUACUCCAGGCUGGAUAGUAACCAUGACACUAGCUAUCCUGUCUAAAUCAGUGCUGGUGGAAGAGGAAGAAGACAUGUCAUGGAGAAUUCAGAGCAGAAAAUAGUGCCUGGACAUUAAUCUGACUUCAUUUAUGACCCUGGUGCAUCAUGAUUUAAGGAGCACUGGGGGAGCCCUUUUAAAUAAACGGCCACCAUCUCACUCUCCUCAAUUUCCAUCCCCCAGAUUCUACUAAAAUAUGAAGUUUUUCCUUUCCCGGGGCAUUUCUUGGGGUUAUUAAGCCACUUCCCUCAUUAAAAUGCAAAUCUGAACACAAGUAGCAUUUAGGUACCUCAGUCACUGCACUGUUGUGUGCAUGCGAUCAUCAGGUAGCCAAGCUUAAGAUCUUUCUUCAAAGAUGGGACAGCCCAGGGCCAUGUGAGUAAAGGAAGAAUGGAGACACGUGGUCACAGGUGGAAGUCUGCCACUGCAGGCAGGAGUGGGGGCUCAGGAGGAGGAUGCGGGGGAUGGGCUGGGAUUGGGGAGAAGGAGGCUUAAAGGGAAGAGUCAGGCCUGAAGGAAACCUCCACCUACUUCCACAGUCAUGGCUCAGACCAGCCUUUCCCCAGGCAAUUUCCAGACCUUCAUCAUGACCUUCAUCAUGGACUUCAGUUUCCUUAACCUACCUGGGGUUCUCCAGUGGCUUACAGCAGAGCCUAGGCCGCCUCAGCAUUUUGUACAAUGAAUUGGCUAAGAACAUUCAUGGCAUGUUGUCUGGAUGUUGUAAUAAACUAAAGCUGAAAGGAAUAGCUAAUUCUUUAGAUAUUGCAAUAAGGGUCCAAAAGAUGUGAGUGGGCAAAAGCAAAAUUUAAUUUUAAGGGACAAAUAUAAUUGUGGCACUUAAGCACAACCUCCACUGCUCCCCCUCCUCAAAUCACAAAUAAAAAGAAGUCAGUAGUCCCGCCUGUUCUCAGCAAUGACUGGUCCAAACCUAGGGUUUUGGUUCAGAGAAUAGUGUCAUAUAUUAGGAGGGUCAUUAACAAGAUGGGCACGUCCAAAGGAGAAUAAAUGAAUGGUAAGAGGUCCAAAAGUAUGCCGCAUGCAGAACGGCUGGAAGAACUACAAACAAGACAGAGCUAGAUAAGGACAAGAGAGCUACGUUCAGACACUUCAAAAUUUGCACAUGCAAGAUAAAGGAGAAAGCACAUUCAGCAAGAUGAGGGUGGAAUAACAGGAGAAGCCGCACGUGCCAGAAAGCCAGAGAAGAGAGUCAAAGUGGGGUUUUAGUAGAAAACUACCAAAAAUCCAUUCCGACUCUAAGACAUAGAGUUGCCAUGAACCAAGGUGAUCUGUAAAGAGGCCAAGCAACUACUCAUUGGGUUGAACCAUAUGAAACUG